rnacentral:lncRNA from 7 species
AGGUGCUCACUGUUGGUAGCUGUGCUGCCUCUCCCAGGCCUGGACCAGUGUGCUUGGGGUGAUGAGACCACUCUCUUCUGGAUAGGAAGAGAAGACAGACUCCAAAAAGAUCAAAGAUGUGAUAGAAAAGGACUACCCUACAGAGGACUGGCUUCUUUAAGCCAUAUACUACACUGAAACAAGAAGUUCAGUAGGACAAGGAUCUUUUUAUGACAGAGGUGGAAAAUUUGCCCUUGAACCUAUGAACAGACCAUUUGACUUGUUGUAAUCUUUGGUCACACGGUGACUCACCGUUCACCACACGGGUACAACACGCAUUCACUGUUAGCUCAGCACCUGAGACAACAUACUGAGACCUUGAUUAUGUCAAGGAAUAUUUCCCAGGAAAAAGGUGGUGAGACUGAGCUGCAGGAUUCUUUAGGACCGUGGGUACCGUGUCUCCCUGUUCUGGCAGAGCAAGUAGCUCUGUCUACAAUGGCAGGAGGGUCCUUCCAUUCCAGCUGUGCACCGUUUGGCCGAAUGUCAACCCUCCAGAUUGAGACUUCAACACAGGAACAGGCAGAUUAUGCCAGAUUGAAUACCUGUCUGCAAUGGCAGCUUGUCUGACUGGAGCCAGUGGCAGGAACUUUGGGAAGAGUGUGAGAAUGGAGUUAAGCCUGGGCAGUGCUUGCACACGCCUCCAAGGUUCUGCAGCUCACGUACUUCCUCAACCAGAGGUGCUGGUUUUAUAAAUGGUAUUUCCCAAUAUUUUUUUUUUCUUCUUCCAUUACACUGUCCAGUCACUUCUGGCCUGCAGCAAAGAGUUCCCCAGUGUAACUAUACCCUCUAUGAAGAAGUACCUGCUUGUGUUUGUUUUGAAUUUGGCACCUGCUUGUUUGAUUUAAUGAUUGUUAGUGUUUGCAUGGAAGGAGAUGGUGAACAAGCAUCCCUCACCCAUCCUUUCCAUUCCAGGUGUUUAUCUCAGCCUGAUUAUUUUCCUUAAAACUGCAGGAAGUGACAAUUAAAAAAUAGUUCAGCUAUUUCUAAGAAGAAGACUGCAGGAAGACGUGUCAUUUUGCCCCUCUAUGGAGAAGAAACGUGUCCCCUUGCUUUUGAGGGAGGAUACAGAAUGUGGUAAAGCAAUCAUCGUUGGGUCAACGAUGUGCCUUUGUUGUCUCCAGGAUGAAGUGCACAAUUCAGCCACAUCAUGUGAGAACUGGAAAAUCUAAACCCUUAGCUGACGCUGGCAGAUGUGGGCAGCUGAAUUCCCUCAAUAAUCCAUUUGUGCUGUAGGACCUCCAAGCACUUGCUGCCCAGGAAAAUCCAGAGUUGGAGAAGGCUUUUUACAGCCAGUUCUUCUGGUGGCAUCAGGCUGCUGUCACUGUGCUGGGAACAAGGGGAACCUCUACUUUAUGUCCUGGCACUCACCUGUGUGCACGUAGGCAGCGGGAGGCUGGAAGCAAUUACAGCAGAUCACAGAGGAAACAGAGAAGGGUGGAUGCUGCAGGAGCUGGAGAACAAGGGGAGGCAAGGAGCUUGGAUGCAGGGAGUGGACAGGGAAGUCAUGGGAAGAAUUGGAUGUUUCUAGUCCAAUGGCAAGGUUUUACAAUUCUAAAAGAUUAAAUGGAUGUAGAAAUAUCAAAAUUGGGGUUGAUGAGAUCUACGCCUAUCUUCCACGCUGGGACUACCAGCAAUUCCCAGCAGCAGUACUGGAAGUUCUGCAGCUGCUGAAUAACUUGCCUCUAAGACAAAGUGACUCCCAGUGCCCGUGAAUCAGAGACUGGUUUAUGUCGAGGAAUGGAGCAAUUAUAUCCUUCCGAAAACAUUUCCAUUCUUCCCUUUACAUCUCUGGUGUACUCAUUAAUAAAAUAAAUAUGCAGCCU